ACCUCUAUAGCUCAAUUGGUAGAGCGCACGACCGAUAAUCGUGUAAUUGCAGUUCAAGUCUGCAUGGAGGUACCA
rnacentral:tRNA from 1 species